rnacentral:tRNA from 1 species
GGUUUUGUAGUCAAUUAUGAUAUUAAAUUGCAAAUUUGAAGGUAAAAUUAUUUUCAGAACC